rnacentral:rRNA from 1 species
AGCGAACGCUGGCGGCAGGCCUAACACAUGCAAGUCGAACGAACUCUUCGGAGUUAGUGGCGGACGGGUGAGUAACACGUGGGAACGUGCCUUUAGGUUCGGAAUAACUCAGGGAAACGUGUGCUAAUACCGAAUGUGCCCUUCGGGGGAAAGAUUUAUCGCCUUUGGAGCGGCCCGCGUCUGAUUAGCUAGUUGGUGAGGUAAAGGCUCACCAAGGCGACGAUCAGUAGCUGGGCUGAGAGGAUGAUCAGCCACAUUGGGACUGAGACACGGCCCAAACUCCUACGGGAGGCAGCAGUGGGGAAUCUUGCGCAAUGGGCGAAAGCCUGACGCAGCCAUGCUGCGUGAAUGAUGAAGGUCUUAGGAUUGUAAAAUUCUUUCACCGGGGACGAUAAUGACGGUACCCGGAGAAGAAGCCCCGGCUAACUUCGUG